rnacentral:rRNA from 1 species
CCCUUAGAUGUCCUGGGCCGCACGCGCGCUACGCUGAUGCAUUCAACGAGUUUUACCUUGGCCGAGAGGCCUGGGCAAUCUUUUGAACCUGCAUCGUGAUAGGGAUAGAUUAUUGCAAUUAUUAAUCUUGAACGAGGAAUUCCUAGUAAACGCAGAUCAUCAAUCUGCAUUGAUUACGUCCCUGCCCUUUGUACACACCGCCCGUCGCACCUACCGAUUGAAUGGUCCGGUGAAGCCUCGGGAUUGUGGCGAGUUCCCUUUAUUGGGAGUUUGUCGCGAGAACUUGUCUAAACCUUAUCAUUUAGAGGAAGGUGAAGUCGUAACA